UGAUCCAGCCGGGCCUUUACCCAGGUGGAACCCCAUGGCAUUCACUGGCUGUGGCGGGAAACACGGACUUUUACUUUGAAAAAAUUAGAGUGCUCCAGGCAGGCUUAUGCUCGAAUACAUUAGCAUGGAAUAAUAGAAUAGGACGUGUGGUUCUUUUUUGUUGGUUUCUAGGACCGCCGUAAUGAUUAAUAGGGACAGUCGGGGGCAUCAGUAUUCAAUUGUCAGAGGUGAAAUUCUUGGAUCUAUUGAAGACUAACUACUGCGAAAGCAUUUGCCAAGGAUGUUUUCAUUGAUAAGGAACGAAAGUUAGGGGAUCGAAGACGAUCAGAUACCGUCGUAGUCUUAACUAUAAACUAUGCCGACUAGGGAUCGG
rnacentral:rRNA from 1 species